AACACGUAAGAAUCUACCUUUCGGUUGGGGAUAACUUCUGGAAACGGGAGCUAAUACCCAAUACGCUGUGGAGUGAAAGGAAUUUCGCCUAAAGAUGAUCUUGCGUCUGAUUAGCUAGAUAGUGUGGUAAUGGCGCACUAUGGCGACGAUCAGUAGCUGGUCUGAGAGGAUGGACAGCCACAUUGGAACUGAGACACGGUCCAAACUCCUACGGGAGGCAGCAGUGGGGAAUUUUCCGCAAUGGGCGAAAGCCUGACGGAGCGACGCUGCGUGAAGGAUGACGGCCUGCGGGUUGUAAACUUCUUUUCUCGAAGAAGAAUAAAUGACGGUAUUCGAGGAAUAAGCAUCGGCUAACUCUGUGCCAGCAGCCGCGGUAAGACAGAGGAUGCAAGUGUUAUUCGGAUUGAUUGGGCGUAAAGCGUCUGUAGGCGGUUUGGAAAGUCUUUUGUGAAAUUCUUCAGCUCAACUGGGGGUCCGCAAAAGAAACUUCUAGGCUUGAGGGAAGUAGAGGUACAGGGAAUUUCCGGUGGAGCGGUGAAAUGCGUAGAUAUCGGAAGGAACACCAAUAUGGCGAAGGCACUGUACUGGGCUUUACCUGACGCUAAGAGACGAAAGCUGAAGGAGUGAUUAGGAUUAGAUACCCUAGUAAUUUUAGCCGUAAACGAUGGAAACUCACUGCCGAGCCGGUAUUCGGAGCGGUGGUCAAGCUAACGCGUGAAGUUCCCCGCCUGGGGACUACGCAUGCAAAUGUGAAACUCAAAGGAAUUGACGGGGACCCGCACAAGCGGUGGAGUAUGUGGUUUAAUUCGAUGCAACGCGAAAAACCUUACCAAGGUUUGAAAUCAUUUCAAAACUCUUUGAAAGAAGAGCCUCCUUCGGGAUGGAAUGACAGGUGGUGCAUGGCUGUCGUCAGCUCGUGUUGUGAAAUGUCAAGUUAAGUCUUGUAACGAGCGCAACCCAUGUCUUUUGUUGCUGUUUACAGUGCUUAAAAGAGACUGCCGCUCUACAGCGGAGGAAGGUGUGGAUGAUGUCAAGUCAGCAUGCCCCUUAUAUCUUGGGCUACACACGUACUACAAUGGUAGGGACAAUGAGUCGCAAACCUGCGAAGGCUAGCCAAUCUCAAAAACCCUAUCUCAGUUCGGAUUGUACUCUGCAACUCGAGUGCAUGAAGGUGGAAUCGCUAGUAAUCGCUGGUCAGCAUACAGCGGUGAAUACGUUC
rnacentral:rRNA from 1 species